AUGGCCAAGCCGACGGUGCCUCGGAUGAAGCUGGGCUCGCAGGGGCUGGAGGUCUCCGCGCAGGGCCUCGGCUGCAUGGGCAUGUCCGGCAACUACGGCCCCGCGAAGCCAGACGACGACAUGCUCGCGCUCCUCCGCCACGCCGUCGCCGCCGGCGUCACUCUCCUGGACACCUCCGACGCCUACGGGCCCUUCACCAACGAGCUCCUUCUCGGCAGAGGAUGGUUAGCCUUGUGA
rnacentral:rRNA from 1 species